UUCAGGAUCCAGGGAAAGAAUAUUUCAAGUUAAGGAAAAGGCAGCCUUGUCCACACAGAAGAGAAAGUGUGCCCGGCCCAGCAAUCGUCUCCCCUGGCGCAGUGGCUUUCCCGAGCAGAGGCCGCUCCUCCUGGACUUGGACAGCUGCUGGCAGGAGAUCCACACAGCCCUUCCCUCUGAAUGGUCUGGACUGGGGACAAUUGGCUGGAAUCAAUAUGAUGUUACUGUUUUGUGAUCCUGACAUGACAAGCCUGAGGAUCAAAGAUGCCUCAAUGGGACGGACCAGAUGAAAGGGCAGGAACAUCUUGAUGUGACUGGAUCACUGAGUCACUGUUACAAUCCUUCGUCAGGUCCUCGUUUGCCAAGCAUCUCCUUUCUUCUGUAUUACGCAGGCAUGGCCAAACAUAGCCACUGCUCAAAGUGUGGAGAAAUCUUCGUGGCUCCCAUUAAACAGAGGGAGCAACACUCAGGGAUUCAACGAUGAAGCCUCCAUUAGCUGGACUGCUCAGAACUCUCACCAUGAUUUCUCAUUCCUUACCUAUAAAGAUUAUACUGACAAUCAGGAAGUUUUCUGGGUCUAUCUCCUCUGCUACUAAGUACAGGUGGUAUUAAUGUAACCUGUCCUCACAAUGUUGUAGGAAGAAAUCAUUAUUUAAAAUAAUUAUAAAAAUAUGCUCAAUACCAAUUGUUAUUAAAGAAUGGCAAAUUAAAACAACAAAAUACCAGGAACUCCCAUUCACUUCUGGUGAAAAUACAAAAUGGUACCACCAUUUUGGAAGACAGUUUGAUGGUUUCUUACAAAAUUAAACAUAUCCUUACCAUAUCAUCCAGGCAUUCUGCUCCCUGGUAUUUAUUUAAAGGAGUUGAAAAUUUACAUGCACACAAAAACCUGUUCAUGGAUGUUCAUAGCAGCUUUAUCCAUAAUUGUCAAAACUUGUAACCAAUCAAGAUGUCCCUAUGUAGGUGAAUGGAUAAACUGUGGUAUUACCCGCAUGUGCGCAUUCACUCAGUUGUGUCUGAUUCUUUGAGAUCCCAUGGACUGUAGGCCCCCAGGGUCCUCUGUCCAUGAAAUUUUCCAGGCAAGAAUACUGGAGUGGGUUGCCAUUUCCUUCUCUGAUUACACAUACAAUGGGAUAUUAUUCAAUGCUAAAAAGAAAUGAGCUAUCAAGCCAUGAGAAGACAUGGAGAAACCUUAAGGGCAUAAUAUUGAAUGAAAGAAGCUAAUCUGAAAAGGCUGUGUAUUGUGUGAUUCUGACUAUAUGACAUUCUGGAGAGGAAUGGAGGGAGUAUUAUGGAGGGAGUAAAAAGAUCAGUGACUGCCAGGGGCUUCAGGGGAGGGAAGGAGAGAUUAAUAGGUGGAGCACAGGGGAUUUUUAAGGUAGUGAAACUAUUUUGUAUGAUACUGUAAGGAUGAAUACACAUCAUUAUACAUUUGUCAAAAGUGAUACAAUGUAACUAAUGCAUAACUAAAGAGUCAUGCAUAAUAAACUGUAAAUUUUUGUUGCUAAUGAUGUGUCAAUGUUGUUUCAAAGACUGUAACAAAAUAGAGUGUAGUAUGUUAAUGGUCACUUGAGCUUGAGCAUGGGGUAAGGGUUAUGUGGGAACCCUGUACCUGCAGCUCAAUUUUGCUAUGCACCAACAUAGUUUUUAAAAAAUAAAAUCUAAAAUUGAAAAUAAAUUUGAAAGCCGAAGUCAUUAUACAGUAGGAAGUGGGUAUAAUUAUAUAAUAACCAUUUAUAAAUGAAUAAAGCAUGCAAUCAACAAUGACUGCAAGUUUUAGGAUUAUACCUGACAGAAAACAACAACAAAAUCUUAGAAAAGAUAAGAGAAUAUUUCUCUCUCAUGUAAAAUAAGAAUAGACGUUGGCAGUCCUGGGCUGGAGUGGUGACACCAUAAAGACUUUGUAGACCAAGGCUUCUGGCUUUGCUGAGGCUCUCACACCAGCAGUUAACUACUAUCCCAUGGCCUGACAUGGUUGCCGAAGCUCCGGCCAUUACAUCUGCCUUCCAAGAAGCAGAGAAUGAGAAAGCAGAGUAGAAGACAUGCUUCCUCCCUUUCAAGACUUAUGGACGUUUUAUAUUAUCCUUCUGUUUCAAUCUCAUUGGUCAGGCACUUAGACAAAUGGCUACACUAAUUCAUCAGGGAGUCCAGCAAAUUUUUAGCUAUUUCAUUUAUAUUGAAUUAAAAAAAAAAGAAAAAUAGAGAGAAGCCUGGCUAAAACUCAGGGCUCUUUUUCUACAUAAAA